CGCCGCCGCCGCCGCCGCGGAGCAGACCAUCGAGAACAUCAAGGUGGGCCUGCAUGAGAAGGAGCUCUGGAAGAAGUUCCACGAGGCAGGCACCGAGAUGAUCAUCACCAAGGCGGGCAGGAGGAUGUUCCCCAGCUACAAGGUAAAAGUCACAGGCAUGAACCCCAAGACCAAAUAUAUCCUGCUGAUUGACAUCGUCCCUGCAGAUGACCACCGCUACAAAUUCUGUGACAACAAAUGGUAAGAACCUGGGGCCCUCACAUCCCCUGUCUUCUCUCACCACACCCACCCCACCACCUGAUGUUUGGUCCAGGGACUCACCAGCUAGUUCCAGUGAUUGCCCAGACGUGCGGCAUUGGGAACUGAGCCUGCAGGGGCUGCAGGGUUGGCAAAUGUCUGCCCACCUGCUGCAGAUGGGGCUGGGGCUGGAAAUGAGUUGCAGUGUUUGUGUUUGGUGGCUUUCAAGAGUCUGUUCUCUCCCUACAGCUGUGGACAGACAGGAUUGGUGACUAUGCUGUGGGGUGAGAGAUGGACAACACUGGAUGAAUAUAGGCUCUGGUCGGGCCGCGCUGGGGAGGAGGAUGGGAGCUGUUUUCUUGGGGGACUUUGAUAUUGGAUGGUUAGCACCCAGAUGCCUGGUCUGUGGCAUCUUCUGCUGCUUUUCCACUUGCUCCUUGUCUGGCUGUGAGCCCUUCCUUUAAGCUGUUGAUCCACAGUGAAGGGCAGCCGCCUGGUGGUUGGAUGACAGGAUGCCUUGGCAAGGGGUUGGGGGAAACAAGUGGGUUGUAGGGCAAAACGGGGGCCGGACAAAUAAACACUGGGCUGCUUUUUCUAAGGCCACCUCCUCUGUACCCUGUCUGUCCCCAGAGCCCAGGACAGCAUUCAAGGAGAGAGAGGGAUUGAAUGAAUUAGCAGCCAGCUGGGAUGUGGGCUCCACAAUGGGUUGGUAGUAGGGUCAGCAGAGACUGGGCUGAGGAGGCCAGGUCCUGUCGAGGGCCAUGUUUCUAUUUCUUCUCUCUUCGGAUUGGAUUAUCAUUCAGAGCAGGCUCUGGCUGAGGGGACAGUUACCAAGUAAUUUCUUUGGGGGCAAGCACUAUAUUGGGGACAAGUAAUUUUUUU